UCCGUAGGCGGGCAAUUAAGUCAGAAGUGAAAUCCCACAGCUCAACUGUGGAACUGCCUUUGAUACUGGUUGUCUUGAGUUACAGUGAAGUAGAUAGAAUAUGUAGUGUAGCGGUGAAAUGCAUAGAUAUUACAUAGAAUACCGAUUGCGAAGGCAGUCUACUAACCGUAUACUGACGCUAAUGGACGAAAGCGUGGGGAGCGAACAGGAUUAGAUACCCUGGUAGUCC
rnacentral:rRNA from 1 species